rnacentral:rRNA from 1 species
UACAGAGGUCUCAAGCGUUGUUCGGAUUCAUUGGGCGUAAAGCGCGUGUAGGCGGCUUUGCAAGUCGGGUGUGAAAGCCCUCAGCUCAACUGAGGAAGUGCGCCCGAAACUGCAGAGCUUGAGUGCCGGAGAGGGUGGCGGAAUUCCCCAAGUAGAGGUGAAAUUCGUAGAUAUGGGGAGGAACACCGGUGGCGAAGGCGGCCGCCUAGGACGGG